UAUUUAUUUUAUUAUAUUUAUUUUUUGUUUAUUUAAUUAUUUAAUAAAAAUAAUUUUGUUGAAUUUUGUCUUAGUAUAUUUUGUAGAAUUGAUUUUUUAUAUUAUAGUUUAUUGGUAAUGUAAUUGUUUUAUGAAAUAUUAUUUUAAAUUUUUAAAAGUAGAUUUUAUUUAUUGUACCUUUUGUAUCAGGGUUUAUCAAAAUUUUAGUAUUUACUUUACUUGUCUCGAUUUGGGUUGAUUUAUAAAUAAUUUAUAGUUAAUGUAUCAUAAUUCUUAUUAAAUUAUUUAUAGAAAUGAGAUGUUAACCGUUUCCCAAGAUAUCUAGUUUCUUAAGAAAAAAUUUAAUUUUUUAAAGUUAAUUGUUUUUAUUUAAUUUUUUAAGUAUAAAUAUUAACUUAUUUAUUCUUUAAGGGAUAAGCUUUGAAGUUAAUAACCUAUAAUUUGUUUUAAUAAAAUAUAAUAGUAAGCUUUAAACCAGCUAUCUUUAAGAUUACGUUUUAGUUCAUUAUUUUUAUUUUUGAUUUUAUAACUAUUUUAGGUUUUUUAUUAAGAUUAUAAAUUUAAUUUUUAAAUUUUUGUAAUAAUGAUAGAAUUAGUAUAUUUAUUUGUAUAUAAUUUUUACCUUGUUAAUUUAUUAUAAGGAACUAGGC
rnacentral:rRNA from 1 species